CUCUUUAUGCUGCGAUACUCCGUUAAGUACUUAUGGGGGUGAUGUCAUUGAUGCCAUGCUUCCAGGAAAAGCCUCUAAGCUUCAGAUUGUAAGGAAUCGUACCCCAAACCGACACAGGUGGUCGGGUAGAGAAUACCAAGGCGCUUGAGAGAACUCGGGUGAAGGAACUAGGCAAAAUGGUACCGUAACUUCGGGAGAAGGUACGCUCUUAUCAGUGAAGUCCCUUGCGGAUGGAGCAGACGAGAGUCGCAGAUACCAGGUGGCUGCAACUGUUUAUUAAAAACACAGCACUGUGCAAAAUCGUAAGAUGACGUAUACGGUGUGACGCCUGCCCGGUGCCGGAAGGUUAAUUGAUGGGGUUAGACUUCGGU
rnacentral:rRNA from 1 species